GACAGAGGGUGCAAACGUUGUUCGGAAUUACUGGGCGUAAAGCGUGUGUAGGCUGCUACAUAAGUCGGAUGUGAAAGCCCCGGGCUCAACCCGGGAAGUGCACUCGAUACUGCGUAGCUUGAGUCUCGGGGAGGUUGGUGGAAUUCUCGGUGUAGAGGUGAAAUUCGUAGAUAUCGAGAGGAACACCGGUGGCGAAGGCGGCCAACUGGACGAAGACUGACGCUUAGACACGAAAGCGUGGGGAGCAAACAGG
rnacentral:rRNA from 1 species